UUGCUCGUGGGGCUAUAAUUGAUGAGAAGGAGCUGGUGCAGUGUUUGCAGCAAGGACUAAUAGCUGGUGCUGGGUUGGAUGUGUUUGAAAUUGAGCCUCAUGUUCCUCAAGUGCUUUUAACGCUAGAGAACGUUGUAUUGUCACCUCACUGUGCUGCCUUCACCGAGGAAUCUUUUGGGGAUUUAUAUGAACUCAUGUCUGAUAAUUUGGAAGCUUUUUUUUCAAAUAAGCCCUUGCUUUCUCCGGUUUUAGACUAUCAAUCAUAAUCCCCCUCUUACAUAUAUUGCUAUAUUUUCAAGUUUACUCAUGAAGUAAAUUGACUGUGUGCUUAUUAUGUAUUAUCAGAUUUGCCAUUUAGUGACAGACUAUAUAUUUGCUAUUUUUAUUAUUUAAUAUUAUUCGAUACCUUCUAACCCACUUUACCAAGCACACCCCAUAUGUUUUAUUUGUUUCAGAAGUCAUUUUCCGACUAGAAUAACGUCUUUUAUUUGCUGCUGCUUGCCUGCUUCCCAAGACUCGUGGUAAAGAAAAAAGAAGCAUGCUUGGAAGUUGCUUAUAAUUUAUUUAAAGAAUAAUAGAUAAAAAUGUGUGGUUGAUAAGUGUGUAGUACGACGAAACGUGGAUAAAAAUAGUUGGGACAGAUUAUAAACAAGAGGCAAACAAGGGCUAAAAUUUUAUUAAAGAGUUCUGUUUUUGUUAUGGAAGCCUGAUAAUAAUUUCUCUGGUAUCGGGUUAUAAAUAGUAUGUAACAGCUCAAGAAAUUAACGUUGAACUCUCUCUCUCUCUCUAGAUUGAAUAUUCCGUGUUGCAGAACAUGACAGGCAUUAGAACUUGUGCUCCUAAUUUAUUCUAUUUUUGUAUUCUCCCUGUUAAGUUACUGAUUUUUGAAGCUGUGAAUUUUGAUAUUUAGCUAAUUCUUAUGAGUUUUAGAGUGCUUUAAUGUGUAUUUUGAUGUUGUUAUAUAGAUUGAUGAAAUUGAAGGAAAUAAGCAAUAGUUGGAAAAAUUGUUGGGAGGCAUGUUUUUUUUUUUUUUUAUAAUCAUCUUCUCCAGUCAAACUUAACUAUGCUCUGUCUGCUCUUUAUGAACAGUUAUUAAACUGAGAUCUUUCAGUGAAAUUUUAAAUGAAAUGUUAUUGUUUAUUUUUGAUAGAUACUCACUUAAGGAACAGAGGACAAAGAUAUAUACUGGAAUACAGAAGAUGCUGAUUACUUGACUUCUCUUAUUCAAUGAUUUGAGGCCUUUAAAUAGGCUUACAUCAACAUUUAGAAACAAGAAAUAGCAACUGAAAAAAACGUGGAGAAUUGUUCCUGCAGACUCAGUAACAACCAUAUACUUGACAAAUUUUGACUAGGACAAAUAAAACAUAAUGACAUCAACCAAAUGGAAUAAACUCAGACUACAUAUAGUUUUAUUCUACAAGUUUCAGCAUUGAAUGUUUUAAAAAUUGAGCAUGCUACAAAUUGUUUACAAGAAUACAUUAUAUUUUGGUGGAAGUCUUGAAUAUAAUGUCUUGAUUUCUUGCAAGUCGAUUGACAUGAAGAUGACUGACGAUUUCAGUUGGGAGGCAAGAAAAUUGGGAUUGUGGGAUUGGGCAGCAUUGGCAUAGAAGUCGCAAGGAGACUCGAGGCAUUUGGCUGUAUAAUAUCGUACAACUCACGGGAGAAGAAAUCAUUUGUUCCAUACCCAUUUUAUGCAGACAUCCGUGAACUUGCAGCUAUAUCUGAUGUCCUUGUACUGUGCUGUGCUUUAACCAAGCAAACUCAUCAUCUCAUCAACAGGGAGGUUCUGCUGGCGCUCGGAAAGGAAGGAUUAAUUGUGAAUAUUGCUCGUGGGGCUAUAAUUGAUGAGAAGGAGCUGGUGCAGUGUUUGCAGCAAGGACUAAUAGCUGGUGCUGGGUUGGAUGUGUUUGAAAUUGAGCCUCAUGUUCCUCAAGUGCUUUUAACGCUAGAGAACGUUGUAUUGUCACCUCACUGUGCUGCCUUCACCGAGGAAUCUUUUGGGGAUUUAUAUGAACUCAUGUCUGAUAAUUUGGAAGCUUUUUUUUCAAAUAAGCCCUUGCUUUCUCCGGUUUUAGACUAUCAAUCAUAAUCCCCCUCUUACAUAUAUUGCUAU
rnacentral:lncRNA from 1 species